rnacentral:rRNA from 1 species
GAUGAACGCUGGCGGCGUGCCUAAUACAUGCAAGUCGAGCGCACGGACGAGAAGCUUUCUUCCUUGCUGUUAGCUGGGGAAGGGUGAAUAAAACGGGGAACAACCUCCUUUAAGACUGGGAUUACUUCGAGAAACCAGAUGUAAAUCCGGAAAAUAUCUUAAAGUGCAUUGUCACAAAGUUAAAAACGGUUUUGGCGUCACCUAUAGAUGGAUCCGCGCUGCAUUAGCUAGUUGGUAAGGUAACGGCCUACCAAGGCAAUGAUGCAUAGCCGACCUGAGAGGGUGAUCGGCCACACUGGAACUGAGACACGGUCCAGACUCCUACGGGAGGCAGCAGUAGGGAAUCUUCCGCAAAGGGCGAAAGCCUGACGGAGCAACGCCGCGUGAGUGAUGAAGGUUUUCGGAUCGUAAAACUCUGUUAUUAGGGAAGAACAUAUGUGUAAGUAACUGUGCACAUCUUGACGGUACCUAAUCAGAAAGCCACGGCUAACUACGUG